rnacentral:rRNA from 1 species
GACGAACGCUGGCGGCGUGCCUAAUACAUGCAAGUAGGACGCAGUUGCGAACGGGUGAGUAACGCGUAGGUAACUGCCUAUUAGAGGGGGAUAACUAUUGGAAACGAUAGCUAAUACCGCAUACGCCAUGAUGGACCCGCGGUGCAUUAGCUAGUUGGUGGGGUAACGGCUCACCAAGGCCACGAUGCCUAGCCGACCUGAGAGGGGGAUCGGCAACACUGGGACGGAGAAACGGCCCAGACUCCUACGGGAGGCAGCAGUAGGGAAUCUUCGGCAAUGUGGGGAACCCUGACCGAGCAACGCCGCGUGAGGGAAGAAGGUUUUCGGAUCGUAAAGCUCUGUUGUUAAGGAAGCGGUACUUAACCAGAAAGGGACGGCUAACUACGUGCCAGCAGCCGCGGUAAUUC